rnacentral:misc_RNA from 1 species
GGAGGGCACAAACUUAUAUGGAAUACAUCCCAUGAUACCACCAAAUGGCCAAUUGAAGAAAAGCAAACAUUGUGAAUCAUAAUAGAUGUCAUACAAGAUGCAACAGCUUGAGCAAAUAAGUGGUCGAAAGAUUAUAUUAGGGAAACCCAUGGUCAGGGGAACAGAAUCAACAGCAAGGACCUAGAUAUAUUUUUCAUGGUACCAGCAUCAGGAUUUCCUUCCAAUACCUUCUUAUAUAUAGGA